rnacentral:rRNA from 1 species
CCAAUAGCGUAUAUUAAAGUUGUUGCAGUUAAAAAGCUCGUAGUUGAACUUCAGGCCUGUCCAGACGGUCCGCCUUAAUUGGUGUGUACUGUCCUUGGGUGGGUCCUACCUUCUGGCGAAGCGGCAUGGCCUUAAUUGGUUGUGUCGGGGAACCAGGACUUUUACUGUGAAAAAAUUAGAGUGUUCAAAGCAGGCAAAUAUGCUCGAAUACAUUAGCAUGGAAUAAUGGAAUAGGACGAUGGUUCUAUUUUGUUGGUUCUAGGACCGUUGUAAUGAUUAAUAGGGAUAGUUGGGGGCAUUAGUAUGCAAUUGUCAGAGGUGAAAUUCUUGGAUUUAUUGAAGACUAACUACUGCGAAAGCAUUUGCCAAGGAUGUUUUCAUUAAUCAAGAACGAAAGUUAGGGGAUCGAAGACGAUCAGAUACCGUCGUAGUCUUAACCAUAAACUAUGCCGACUAGGAAUCGGGCGAUGUUGACAAAAUGACUCGCUCGGCACCUCAUG